AUGCCUCUCACAGCACUCGAAUGGCAGGGAGAAGUGUUAUACCACCAGGGAGAAGCGUUAUACCAUCUCCCCCUCCAACUGAGAGAGGGUCCCUGCCCUUGGACCUCUUCCUCCUGUGCUUCUGGUCCAGGAAGAGACGCAAGAGGUUCAACAAUGCCACAGACGCACCCUCAAGGCAGGCGGGGCCACACCUGCGUUUCAAGCGGACUCCUGUUCAUGCAAACCAGAAGCCCAUUCUAGAGCACACGGUUGUAAUUGGAGCUAGGGAGGCAGUUCCCAAACCCUCCACAGUACAGCUGGCUAGGAGCAGAGACAGGGAUAUUUUCUCUGUUCUAGCUCAUGGAGGAGGGCGGAGGGCACUCACUCAAGUUUAUCUAUCUAUCCAUCUGUCAUAUACCUACCCCUCAAAUAUGUGGAGUGCAGUUAUUCUCAGAGAUGUCCUGACUCAGGAGUUAGUAAUAGUCUCUGAAGUCAAGAUGCCUGAGUUUGAAUCUCAGCUCUGCCACCUAUUAGCUGUGUGACCUUGGGCAAAUGACUUAACCUCUCUGGACAGCAAGUUCCUCACCUGUAAUAGGGAGAUGUGCCUGAUAGCACAGUGACUGAUGCAAAGUAAGUGAUGUAUCUGGGUUUUUGAAUAAUAAAUUGAGAGCUGAUCUUAAGAAGGAUAUAGAGAACAAGAGUCUCUAAGAGGUAUUAUUAUGGGCGAUUCCAGGUCAGGGACAUGGCCACUUCCAUCACUGAACUUGUAUAUUUGAAGUGAAUACAAUUAUUAUCCAUACCUUGGAGAUGAGAAAAUGAAAUCUCGAAGAAAUCCCUCACCCAAGGUCUCCCUGGAGCCUGCAUAUGGCAGGGUGAAUCUGGCUAGCUGACAUCUGAGCCUGAGCUCUAUACAUUCUCUGGGUUGUAAGACGGGGCAGCUCCCAGGCCUGGUCCACCAGACAUGCCCAUGGUCCAAGCAGAUUUCAUCUUUAUUUUUUUUUUAAGAUUUUAUUUAUUUAUUCAUGAGAGACACAAAGAGAGAGGGAGGCAGAGACACAGGCAGAGGGAGAGGGAGAAGCAGGCUCCAUGCAGGGAUCCCGACGUGGGACUCGAUCCCGGGUCUCCAGGAUCACGCCCUGGACUGAAGGCGGCACCUAAACCACUGAGCCACCCGGGCUGCCCCCAGAUUUCAUCUUUAGGACUAGAGUAUAGACAGAGCUGUCUCUUUCCACCGAAGUCAGGGUUAGCAGUCAGUGUGUUCCACAUGCAGUACGAAGAGGCCUGACCACAACGGGAGAGAAAGAGACUCCUAUCACAGAAGAGACCGGAAGUAAGAGCUCCAGUUACCUUCCAAUGCAGUUCUCCUGGCUCUGCCCUCCUCUGUGUUGGCUUUGUCUUCAGGCUGGUUUUCCUCAUCGCAGCCAGUGCCAACAGCUUUUGUUGCCACAAGCAACCUUAUCCCAAAGAGAACAUUUCUGGCCUGGCAUUCCAAGCGGGAGUCCUGAAACCCACUCUGCCUGGAUUGGGUCACAUGCCCACCUGAACCCAUAGGGUAGCCAGAGGACUGGAAUGUGCGGAUUGGCUAUGCCAGGCGGGGCCCCAUGCCUAGCACUGGGGCGACUCAGUUUCUCCUGAAACAUCAGACAGCGUGGGAGAGAGGCGGACACUUGAUUGAAAACUGCAUGCGGUGAGGAAGGGAAUGGAGGGACACAGGGCCAUUUGCUAGCUUGGUACAGACCGGGGCGCGCAUGAACUUGCAGAAGGAAUUCAUGCUUUUCACCUCUCAGAAAGUCAUGUCAUUCUGACCUCCCUCCUAUUAUCCACUCCGCACCUCCACCCACCCACAUACCAAACCCCCAUUAAGCUCUUCUCUGUAGUAAAUACAUUUUAAUUAAAAUCAAAUUCUUGCCCAACUGCUUUUCUCUCCAAAUCUCGCCCCUCAAUGCAGUUUAGAUGGCAUGAGACCACACAGUGCAACCUGGCCCGAUUGGCAGAAGGGGUCAUUCUCCCCUCGUCAGAUGAGUGAGGUUUGCGGGGGCACUGGGGGUAUCACCAUGUGGAGCAGGAGCCAGCUCCACAGGCCAAGUUGUGGCAGAAAAUGCACAGGCUCCAAUAACCUGGUUCUAACCUCUGC
rnacentral:lncRNA from 1 species